rnacentral:rRNA from 1 species
GAUGAACGCUAGCUACAGGCUUAACACAUGCAAGUCGAGGGGAAACGACAGAGGAAGCUUGCUUCCUUUGGGCGUCGACCGGCGCACGGGUGAGUAACGCGUAUCCAACCUUCCCGCAAGUAAGGGAUAACCUGUAGAAAUGCGGCCUAAUACCUUAUGUUUUCCUUAGAGGGCAUCUGAUGAGGAACAAAGAUCCGUCGCUUGCGGAUGGGGAUGCGUCUGAUUAGGUUGUUGGCGGGGUAACGGCCCACCAAGCCCACGAUCAGUAGGGGUUCUGAGAGGAAGGUCCCCCCACAUUGGAACUGAGACACGGUCCAAACUCCUACGGGAGGCAGCAGUGAGGAAUAUUGGUCAAUGGACGGAAGUCUGAACCAGCCAAGUGGCGUGCAGGACGACGGCCCCUAUGGGUUGUAAACUGCUUUUANGUGGGAAUAAAGUGAGGGACGUGUCCCUUUUUGCAUGUACCUUAUGAAUAAGGACCGGCUAAUUCCGUG